UUGUCUUUCGUCUUACACGGUGGCGCAUCAGGGAACACCAGGAAAGAGCCACUGACAGACACAUUGCGAUACUUUAGAUCUGAGUAUUUGGCAGCUACUUUCUCAAAAGGGACCAAAGUAAGCCUGUACCUCAAGAGAAAAAGGUGGACAGUAUCUGCGGCCAAUGAUCAAACCUGAGAUUUCAAGGGAGAAUUAAGACUUUUGGAGAACUUACAUCUGUCACUCUGACUUAGACAGUGUCCUUGCACGUAACAGCUUUUCUGAUGAGAUCAGUGGUGACACUAAUGACUCCGAUUCACUAAAUGCCAUGUAAUGAAAUGCUCAACAUUCCAAAGAUCUGCAUUCCCCAGGGAACUCGUGUUUUCCAAGUGACCCAUACAAGGUUACAAAAUCUCAGAUCAGGGAAUGAGUCAUUCCCAGAGCCAAUGAGCCCACUGGGUUUUACUGUGAUGGGGUGGGUUCACCGACCAGAUACAACAAAUCUUUGAGAAACCACUUGUUGAGUUUUGGUGUAAUAUCAAAGAAGAACGUGCUCAACCGUCUGCAACAGCCAUGCAAAGCCUCCUCCCUUGUCCAGCAAGGCCCACAUGAAGCUGGGUUUUCUUCACUGCCUUUGAUCUAAACAACCCAAAGGAAAGGAUUGAGCCUGGAAGCAGAGACCCAAGAGAACAUCCAGCCACCCUCUCUUGAGUCAAACAUCCAAGAAACUUGCACAAGUGUAAUGCAACACCAAUCAUCUUGCUAACACUUAUUCUGGAAGAC
rnacentral:lncRNA from 1 species